rnacentral:rRNA from 1 species
GCGAUCAUACCAGCACUAAUGCACCGGAUCCCUUCAGAACAUCCGAAGUUAGCGUUGCUUGGGCGAAAGUAGUACUAGGAUGGGUGACCCCCUGGGAAGUCUCGUGUUUCACCC